rnacentral:misc_RNA from 1 species
AUUAAACUAAAGAAAGGCAGAAAAUGCUAUCUGGGUCACAGAUGAAGCCAAUAUCGCCUUUGCAAGUUGAAUUCUCAAACAUAUCUAGUCAUCAUGAGGUGGACUUGACUCUCUGGCCAGAUCAAACAUGGGAUAGGGAGCAGCUGAGUAAGGGCUCAGGUUACUUCUACUUAGCCAAAAGAGAGAGAUAUAUAUAAAGACAGAGUAGGAAGCAUCUCUUGAGAUUGACAGCGCUUCAAUAUAUGCUGGUGCAGGUCCUGCCUUAAAUGCAAAUUUUGUCUGCCAGGAGGAUUGCCAAAUAAUAUGCUCUAGUCAACUAUUUAAGAUUACCCCAGUAUAUCCUAUUCUGCCAUUUCUAAUUUACACCAGUAUCAAGGCACUACAAACAGAAUAGUGGGUGGGAAUGCUAUUAAGCCACACCAAAAGAAGCCUGUUUCAAUAAGUGCUUACCCAAUGAGUAGUCUUCAAACCACAAAAUAGAUCCAUUGUUGGAAUAUUACCAUUUUCUCAUUGAAUGAAGAGUAAAAUUCUGCAAUAUGCAUAGAAC